rnacentral:rRNA from 23 species
ACCUGGUUGAUCCUGCCAGUAGUCAUAUGCUUGUUUCAAAGAUUAAGCCAUGCAGGUGUAAGUAUAGAUCAAUUUACGAUGAAACUGCGAACAGCUCAUUAGAAUACUUAUAAAUAACACGGUGACUAUCAUUAUAUGGAUAUCCAUGGUAAUUCUGGAGUUAAUACAUGCCGAUAAUUUUGUUUACAAAAUUGCAGCCAUGAUUGAAUCGCCGACUUGGGUUCUGCCCAAUUGGAGGAUCCGCGUGGACUUGUGAAUCGCUUUUUGCGAUAGACCGUUUUAAUUUGUGACCUAUCAGCUUCGUCGGUAAGGUAUUGGCUUACCGAGGCGAUUACGGGUAACGGAGAAUUGGGGUUCGAUUCCGGAGAGGGAGCCUGAGAAACGGCUACCACAUCUAAGGGUGGCAGCAGGCGCGCAAAUUACUCAAUCCCGACACGGGGAGGUAGUGACAAAAAAUAACAGCACGAUGCUUUUGCUUCGUGACUGUAAUGAGCAAAAUUUACAAAAGUAUGUGAGUAUCAAUUGGAGGGCAAGUCUGGUGCCAGCAGCCGCGGUAAUUCCAGCUCCAAUAGCGUAUAUUAAAAUUGUUGCAGUUAAAGCGUUCGUAGUUUAUGUUACACAGUAAAGCAGGUUAGAGACUCAGGUUUUGAGUUCUCGUCUGUUUUUCCUGUCGUGUAGUUUACUGCACACUAUUACUUUGAGUAAAUGAAUUUGCUCCAAGCAAGCUUUAGCUUGUACCGCUCAGCAUGGAAUAAUAUAAUAUAACUCCCUAUCGGCACGUCGGCGAGUCGAAUGGGACGUGAUGAUUGAUAAGGACAGUCGGGGGCAUUUGUAUUUGCUGGAGAGAGGUGAAAUUCUAAGACCCGGCAAAGACAAACUGAGGCGAAAGCUUUUGCCCAGGAUGUGCCUGUUAAUCAAGGACGAAAGUUGGGGGAUCGAAGACGAUUAGAUACCGUCGUAGUCUCAACCGUAAACAAUGCCGACAUAAUUUCGGCGAAGUAAGUUUAUAGUCUUCUUCGGAGUUACCAGAGAAAUCAAAGUCUUUGGGCCCUGGGGGGAGUAUGGUCGCAAGGCUGAAACUUAAAGGAAUUGACGGAAGGGCACCACCAGGAGUGGAGCCUGCGGCUUAAUUCGACUCAACGCGGGAAAUCUCACCAGGCCCGAACAUAAUUAUGAUUGACGGAUGAAAAGAUCUUUCUCGAUUCUAUGGGUGGUGGUGCAUGGCCGUUCUUAGUCGGUGAGGUGACUUGUCUGGUUAAUUCCGAUAACGGACGAGAUCUCGACUUAUUAAAUAGACACUUUGAUUUGUAUCGAAGCGUCUUCUUAAUGGGACAUUGGAUGUUCAUUCCAAGGAAGUUCGAGCCUAUAACAGGUCUGUGAUGCCCUUAGAUGGCCUGGGCUGCACGUGCGCUACAUUGACUAAAGCAGAAAGUUCCCUUGGUCGAUAGAUCCGGGAAAUCUUUGAAAUUUCGUCGUACUUGGAAUCGGUGAUUGCAAUUAUUCACCGUGAACGAGGAAUUCCUUGUAAGUGCAAUUCACUACAUUGUGCUGACUGCGUCCCUGCCCUUUGUACACACCGCCCGUCGCUUCAACCGAUUGGAUGAUUCGGCAAAUUUCGUGGACAUUAGCAGCUUUAUGCUGCCGAUGGAAGCAAUGUGAGCCACAUUAUCUAGAGGAUGAAGAAGUCGUAACACGGUAUCCGUAGGUGAACCUGCGGAUGGAUCAUUA